AUUGAACGCUGGCGGCAGGCCUAACACAUGCAAGUCGAGCGGAUGAAGGGAGCUUGCUCCUGGAUUCAGCGGCGGACGGGUGAGUAAUGCCUAGGAAUCUGCCUGGUAGUGGGGGAUAACGCCCGGAAACGGGCGCUAAUACCGCAUACGUCCUGAGGGAGAAAGUGGGGGAUCUUCGGACCUCACGCUCUCAGAUGAGCCUAGGUCGGAUUAGCUAGUUGGUGGGGUAAAGGCCUACCAAGGCGACGAUCCGUAGCUAGUCUGAGAGGAUGAUCAGUCACACUGGAACUGAGACACGGUCCAGACUCCUACGAGAGGCAGCAGUGGGGAACAUGGGACAAUGGGCGAAAGCCUGAUCCAGCCAUGCCGCGUGUGUGAAGAAGGUCUUCGGAUUGUAAAGCACUUUAAGUUGGGAGGAAGGGCAGUAAGUUAAUACCUUGCUGUUUUGACGGUACCAACAGAAUAAGCACCGGCUAACUUCGUG
rnacentral:rRNA from 1 species